AAGAAGUUUUAUUCUUGCUUUUUCAUUCAGUUUUUGUUUGUUCUAUAUGUAAGUUUGUGCGUGAUUUGGUUUGGUUACUCUAAAUGGGUUAUGGAUGGGUUAUGUUAUUUAUUUUCAUUAGUUAUUGUUAGUUUGAUCAAGUGUGCUUGUGUCUAGCAAUUCUUUUUAGUUUCGGUUAAAUUUUGUGCCAGCAGCCGCGGUUAUACCUUGGAGGCGUUUGAAUGUGUUUAGUGUGUUAGUAGUUGUAUGUUUUAUGUUUUAUUGAUUUUUUUUGAUCCCGUUUGGUGGGUGAAAUUUUUAUGUUUGUUUAAUGUUUAGUUAUUUAUUUGGAGGCUAUGAAACCUUUGGUUUAGACUAGGAUUAGAUACCCUAUUAUUUAUUGGUGUUAAUGUUUUGUGCUUGAGUAGUAAUAGUUAUGUUCUUGAAACUUAAAGAAUUUGGCGGUAUCUCAUUCUGUCCAGAGGAAUCUGUCUCGUUAUCGAUAGUCCGCGUUGGAUCUUACUUAGAGUUUAGAGUGGUUUGUAUACCGCCGUUUAUUGAUUAUCUUUUUAGAGUUAAUUUUCUGGUUUCUUUAUUUUGAUUUAUUUCAGGUCAAGGUGCAGCUUUUUCUAAGUGUAAUGAUGGAUUACAGUGUUAUUUGUUGUUUGGAUUGUUUGGUUUUGAUACUGAUAUGAAAUUGGAUUUGGUUGUAAUGUUUUGUAGAUUGUUUGCAUGAUAAUUGGUUCUGAGAUAUGUACACAUCGCCCGUCGCUCUCGUUUAGUUAUUAAUGAGAUAAGUCGUAACAAAGUGGCUGUACCGGAAGGUGUGGCUGGGAUGAA
rnacentral:ncRNA from 1 species